UUAAACUAGAUCAAGUGUUGGUCAAAUGAGCCGAUUCUUCGAAGAGCACCUCUGUCUAUCCGUAUCUAAUCUAUGCGUGAGAAAAUAUAACCUCUCGUUCUUGCUUUUCUUGUGAUAUAUUGACACUUUGUAUAUAUGUUUUCCAAUUCUUUUUCAAAUAUUUAUCAAGUAUUUCUAGUUUUUUUGAGUUAUUACAGGUCCGGAGUACGUUGAAAAGCUUUUGGAGGGACUUAUGUAGAAAAGCGUGAAACUUGGAGAAUUCCUGGCGGAGCAUCCGAUCUUAUGCGGACCAGCCGAUCUCAAUUGGAGCAGUCGCUCUGACGAAUGAGAUUUUUAAGGAAACUUCUAAGAUGUUUCGGGAUUUACCCUACUAAUUCCAUCUUUCCCUCUGAGCCGCCAACGACUCUCAUAUAUAUUCUUUUUCUCUUUUCUUCUAUUUUCUAAGCUAGUUUUGCUUGAGUAACGAGAGUCUAGAAAUUUUUCAUAGCUGUGAUUUGCUACUUGCUAUCUUGUAAUGGAGAAGGUCAUCUCUCUCGAUUUAGAAAAUAAUUCCAUGAACCCUAAUUCUUAGUUAUUUGCAAUUGUAUUCCAUGUUUUAUUCAAUCUCGAUCUCUGCGUUUUCUUGUGUUAUGGAUGAGUAGUCGGCUUGCUUAGUCUAGGGUGUUAGGGUGUUAGAUAUGUGAGCUAAACAUAAAUAAGUUGAUAAAUCGAAUGUCUUCAUUCAUGAUUACACCUUAAUGUUGUAUUGAAAUGAUCAAGUUAAUGUAUGAAUUAGGCUUAAUUUAUUCAUCAAAAGUUUAAUAGGUUGCUAGAGAUAACAUGAAUGAGUUUUCCAUCCUUAACAAGCGAAAGUAGAUGUCAGGGUGUAUUGUGAACAAAUCGGACUUGAUCUAUAAUGUUUUUCAUCGCAUCUCAGUCUAAACGACAGUUUAGGUACUGAGAUCGAUCGACAAAAGGUGAAGCUCCACGAGAGUGGGCUGAUCUAUUCGCGUGCGAGUUUUAGACUCGUCUUUUAAUUGAACUUGAAUAAAUGUUUAGCUCACAACUGUUUGACACCCGAUUAAACUACUCUAGGUUAGCACCCUUAAUAAUCUGAAAACUCAAUCAAAUCAUGUUACUUGCUUGUCACGCUUUCCUUUUAGUUUAAAUCAUUUAUUGUUUUAAUUUGAUAUUGAACCUAUAAAGAUAAGUGUAAACGGUCCUCUGGAAUUGAAUCUAAAAUAUUACAACUACCAUUGUUAAUUUGACAAUAGACAAAGACUCAAUUUUAGUGUAUCAUAUCGCUAACGAAUCCGCCCGACCAUUCAUACUCUGAGGAAUAUGAAUUAGGUUCACAUUCUCGAAGUCUUCAUGUAGUCUCUUGAACAACUCAAUUUUCGAUGCGAAUGAUGGCCAGUCCAUCUAGUUCGUAGUCAUGUCUAAUAGAUCUGAGUAAUUUGUCUCUGGAUCGAGGUUAUUUUCAUGUCUCUCAUGCAUGAAGCUGCCACUGACACUGCUAUUAUCAAUUUAUGAAGCAUCAAUUUGACAUGUAGAGAUUCAAAAUAUCUAAAUGAGAACUGUUUCAACCUUUAUAGUACGAGGAUCCUCAUGAUCCUUGUUUGCUUUCUCGUUUUUGUCAUUUUUAUAAUAGUCGUUAUUUGAGAAAAAAAUAUUUAUAUAACAAAAUUUUGUAUUUUAGAGAAAAUCUUAUUAUAUAAAAGAGUGUUUUGCUCUCUCCUGGUGAUGCUACAUCAGAUUCCAGAUCAGAAAGUCAAGUUCUAUGAGUUUGACACGUGUUCCAAAUGAGGAAAACUCAUCGUUCUCGGUUUCUCUGUAACCUCUAUCAACUCUUAUCGCCGCCAGAAUUUUUUAUCUAUUCACCUCACCGGCGUUACAAAAUCUCAAUGAAACCAAACGACGUCUUACUCACGCAUUAACCAAUCCUCCCCACUCCUACCACGAUUUCUCCUUGAAUGCAUCUCCCAUUAAUUAUUUCUUCUGAAUCUCCCACUAUAAAAAAGUUUUGAGACCUGAUAAGAAAUCGUAAUGGUAAGCCAGAGCUGCCCCCAUCCACACACGAGCAUCUAUGACCUCUCCGCUCAUCACGGCGACGUCCGUCAAUUCGGUGCAGUGCUGCAGUGAUUAUUCUUUGUGAGCAGUACAAAACAGAUUUGAUUUUCCACUGGCCGGAUUUCCGACGGAGAUCUCCGAGGGAUCCGACCCGUGUGAAGAGAAGCAGUGGUCUGAGAAACGUGUGGCGUUACAUGCGAGGCGGAUCUGAGUGACAAGAGGAGGUGAGGGAGUAUCCAGAUGAGGUUGGUGCGGUGUGUUGUGACGGUUGUGGGAGGAUUUGGACACAGGGGAUUAAAGAAUGAGGGUUAUGAGUAGGAGUAUAAUGAAGGAUACAUCGAUGAUGAUGAGGAUGAACUUGGAAGUAGAAAUAUUUUUCCGUCGAAUUUUCACGGCAGAGGAAAUAAAUGAAGUUGAGGAAGAGGCGGAGAGAGGUACUUGGCAAAAGUGGAGUUUCGAUUAAUCCAUUGGAAGGAGAGAGAUAUUUGUGUUGUAUGCUUAUUUUUAACGGCGGAAAAAAGGUUUCCAAAUUAAAAUUAGGGUGAUGAAUUUUGCUUUUCACCGAUAAAUUAUUUGUUUCAAUGGGGUAAAUUGAAAAAGACUAUAAUUGUUUUUCUUUUGUUAACCACUCAUUCAUUC